rnacentral:rRNA from 1 species
GAUGAACGCUGGCGGCGUGCUUAACACAUGCAAGUCGAACGAAGCAAUUACGACAGAAUCCUUCGGGAGGAAGAUGUAAUUGACUGAGUGGCGGACGGGUGAGUAACGCGUGGGUAACCUGCCCUAUACAGGGGGAUAACAGUUAGAAAUGACUGCUAAUACCGCAUAACCCGCUAGUAUCGCAUGAUACAGACGGAAAAGAUUUAUUGGUAUAGGAUGGGCCCGCGUCUGAUUAGCUAGUUGGUAAGGUAACGGCUUACCAAGGCAACGAUCAGUAGCCGGCUUGAGAGAGUGAACGGCCACAUUGGGACUGAGACACGGCCCAA